GGCGACGGCUCAGUUGGUGAGGUAGUUGCAGUCAUGAGAAGCCGAGUCCAACCCCACAGAGGACCUCAGUUCAAGCCCCAGAAUCCACAUUUUAAAAAAUACGUAAAUAAAUUGAACGACUCGAAUGAUUUUGGAAAUAUUGGUUUUGUGUUCCUGGAAUGCAUCCAUAUUUUCCCAUUGGGAAUUAUACCUUGAAUCACAAGGAACAGCAUACGGGAGCUGUGUUCCAGAGGCAGCCAAGGUUGUCCUUCCUGUUGGCAGCCACACUUGGUGGUGUAAGAGUCUCCCAGGUGGUACUGGUUUUGAAGGCAUAAAGGGGUCAGGGGAAGCAGCUGAGGCUUGGCACUGUGUGACAGGGCUAGAGUCCUUGAAGAGAGUCCAGGAGAGGCUACUGGAGAAGGUGCAUUACAUUUGCAGCGGAAGACGCCAGUAUUUUGGAUACGCCCAGUGUCAUUGGAACAACCACCAAGGACAGCAACAGAUAGGGAGUGGAGCCAGACUGAGGAGGUGCUUUGUGUGUGCAGCACCAGAGAGAAGAGCCUGAGAAGUGACCCGAGCCCUUUGAAGGAUCCCUGAAGAUGGGAGCAGCUGGAUGUCUGUUACCUGGCCCCACCUGGAGCAGGCUGGCCUUGCUACAUUCCCUCACCUUACCCUUCAGCAUUCCCCGGGCAGAACCAGCCCCACCCACAGCUCUCCCGGAUGCCAGCCUCCAUCAAGCUAGCCUCAGAAGGCUGGGGCCACUCCAAAUGCUGUCCUGGCAGUGGGAACCACAGAAGGCUGUGAGACGGCGUAACAAGAAGACAGAUUGACUCUGUCAGCAGAUUCUGGUGCUCAAGAGAGAAAAUAACCACGGGUUGCCUGCAGAUGCUGUGAUGGAUCCUGAAAUUCAGCUCUGAGCUUCCUGGAAGGCAGGGUGAAAAGGAAAACACUAAGCUCCGAGAUUCUUCUUACCAGAAAGGGGAAGCUGAUCAGUUCCUUCCCGGUGACAGAUACUUCCAGGAACUCAUUUGCAUGGGUGGCAUAAUAAAACCUUCUGAACAGCUAGCAGCAAGAUGGGACAUAGCCAAGGAGCAGAAAGAUGGGAGGUCCUGAGGGAGCUUGUGUUUGCCCCUAGCUCAGAAAACUGGCAAUGUCCAAAUGUCUCAGCUUGGCUGGAUCUUGUCUUUCUCUUUUGAAAGGUCUUAGAUUUGUGGUUCAAGAGGGACAUCGAGGCAGAUUGCCCUUUGAGGAAGAGACUUAUUAGAAGAGUUACUCAUGACACAGAAAGAUCCAAUGAUGGAGGUUCUGAGAACUCAGGUCACGUGA